rnacentral:rRNA from 1 species
CCUGCGGAGGAUCAUUAUUGAAUAAACUUGGUUGGGUUGUUGCUGGCUUUCUGAGCAUGUGCACGCCUGAUCCAUCUUUAACCACCAGUGCACAUUGUGUAGAAUCUGAGAAACUCGAGGCAACUCGGUUUGAGACUUGCUGAGCGCACGCCAGCUUUUCUUGUAAUCGGAUCUACGUUUCUACAUACUCCAUAUGAAUGUAUUAGAAUGUCGUAAUUGGCUCAGUGCCUUUAAAAUAAAUACAACUUUCAACAACGGAUCUCUUGGCUCUCGCAUCGAUGAAGAACGCAGCGAAAUGCGAUAAGUAAUGUGAAUUGCAGAAUUCAGUGAAUCAUCGAAUCUUUGAACGCACCUUGCGCUCUUUGGUAUUCCGAAGAGCAUGCCUGUUUGAGUGUCAUGAAAUUCUCAAACUUUCUAGCUUUUUCAAAGUUAGCUGGUUUUGGAUAUUGGAGGUUGCUGGAUCCCUGGGAAUCAGCUCUUCUUAAAUAUAUUAGCAGUCCUUACUGGCCGUCAUUAGUAUGAUAAUUAUCUAUACUAUUGAUGAUCAGUUUCCUAGUGGAGAGGUGCUGCUUUCUAAUCGUCUUUGAGACAACUUGACAACUUUGACCUCAAAUCAGGUAGGACU